CACGUAGGGCGCAAGCGUUGUCCGGAAUUAUUGGGCGUAAAGAGCUCGUAGGCGGCUUGUCGCGUCGUCCGUGAAAACCAGGGGCUCAACCCCUGGCUUGCGGUCGAUACGGGCAGGCUAGAGUUCGGUAGGGGAGACUGGAAUUCCUGGUGUAGCGGUGAAAUGCGCAGAUAUCAGGAGGAACACCUAUGGCGAAGGCAGCUCGCUGGGACGUUACUGACGCUGAGACGCGAAAGCGUGGGGAGCAAACAGG
rnacentral:rRNA from 1 species